AUUGAACGCUGGCGGAAUGCUUUACACAUGCAAGUCGAACGGUAGAGGGGGCAACCCCUCGAGAGUGGCGAACGGGUGAGUAAUAUAUCGGAACGUGCCCAGUCGUGGGAUAACGUAGCGAAAGUUACGCUAAUACCGCAUACGAUCUAAGGAUGAAAGCGGGGGAUCGCAAGACCUCGCGCGAUUGGAGCGGCCGAUAUCAGAUUAGGUAGUUGGUGGGGUAAAGGCUCACCAAGCCAACGAUCUGUAGCUGGUCUGAGAGGACGACCAGCCACACUGGAACUGAGACACGGUCCAGACUCCUAGGAGAGGCAGAAGUGGGGAAUUUUGGACAAGGGACGCAAGUCUGAUCCAGCCAUUCCGCGUGCAGGAUGAAGGCCCUCGGGUUGUAAACUGCUUUUGUACGGAACGAAAAGGUCUCUCUUAAUACGGGGGACUCAUGACGGUACCGUAAGAAUAAGCACCGGCUAACUACGUGCCAGCCGCCGCCGUAACAC
rnacentral:rRNA from 1 species